rnacentral:lncRNA from 1 species
GUGAGUAUUUGCGCGUGAGAACUUAGCUCACACAGGCUUUGUACAUUUUUCAUAUUGCAAACCCGUCAACAAAAGGAGGAAGAGGAUCUAAGGGGAAUGAGUGGGGUUUGCGGAUUUACGGAUUUCUCUACAUAAACCAGAAGGUUUGGGUUGGAAAUCUGCUAAAGAAAAAAGUUACAACAGACCACAGGGCUGUAAAUCCAGAGACUGGAAGGAGGAAAAGAGAAACUGUGUGUGGCUGCAGUGUUUGUGGUUAGAUGAGAACCAAGCGCUGAGCAGCACAGCGAAGGGGGUGGCUGGCAUGCUUUGCUCUGCUCUCAGAGCCAACACAAGUCGCGGAGCGCGCUGACACCACGGAGCACGAUCUCGGGGCCCCUCUGUGCCGCCCAGGGUCCUGCGCAUCUGCUUGCCCCGCGCUCCGCCCUGCGCCGGCCGCGUCUUCGGGGUCCCCGCGCCCCUACCCUGAGCGCUUCCGCCUGCGCUGAGCUCCCUGCGCGCCUGCAGCCCCAGCGCGGCAGCAGCGGGAACUCUUCUCUCCCGUGUUGGGACCCCACAGCUUGGACGACAGGGACCCCAGGACGCCUCCAUCACGUCAAGGCAGGCCUCUUCUUCUAAAGCAAGGGAAUGGACUCAGACUCUGGGUCUGAGCACCAGUGUUUGUUGCUCUGCAGGACCGGCAGCCUGGGUCAAGGAGGACACCGAGGGACUGCAGAGGUGCAGGCACAGGACUGAUUAGAGCAGUCGUGUUCGUAUUCCGGAGUUGCUAUGGCAAUCACGCCAGGUUGCAGGCAUUUUCUCAGUAUCAGGAUCCUUUAAGCAUUUGGGAGGAAAAGCGACAAAUUAUUUCAAUUAGAGAAAAUGUGCUGAGUACUGGCCUUGAAACAAAUCACAAAAAGGAUUAGCAAAUAGUCCGCAUUGUUUCGAAGGGGAAAGUGUGCAAUUGCAAAGCAAGCCUCUGGCGCUGGCUACUUUUGUGUUUCCUUAGCCACUUCUCUUCCUACCCUACAGUCCCAAUUUUUUUUUUAACUGUACAUUGAGCUAAUAAUGUGUAGAAUUAAUUUUGAUCACACAACAAGCUAAACUGGGAUCUUCCAACCACUCAUCUCAACGCAGACAGCUCCAGAAUACUGCCCACAGCAGCCCGUGGGGUGGAGGAAGAACGCUGAUUUGCAGAGAGGAGUCCUAGAGCCACAUAGAAGGAAGGGGGCUACAACAACAAGGGUAUGACAUGAGAUGUUAUAAUGAUUGAAAUCCUUAAAUAUAAACCGGGAGCCAAAGGAAUAAAGAGUUUAUUUCCUCAAAUUAGCUUCA